rnacentral:tRNA from 1 species
GGCUCUGUAGCUCAGUUGGUAGAGCGUUCGACUGAAAAUCGAAAGGUCACCGGAUCGAUGCCGGUCGGAGCCACCUUGU